UACGAAGGGGGCUAGCGUUGCUCGGAAUUACUGGGCGUAAAGGGCGCGUAGGCGGAUAUUUAAGUUAGAGGUGAAAGCCCAGGGCUCAACCCUGGAAUAGCCUUUAAUACUGGAUAUCUUGAGUUCGGGAGAGGUGAGUGGAACUCCGAGUGUAGAGGUGAAAUUCGUAGAUAUUCGGAAGAACACCAGUGGCGAAGGCGACUCACUGGCCCGAUACUGACGCUGAGGAGCGAAAGCGUGGGGAGCGAACAGG
rnacentral:rRNA from 1 species